UACGAAGGGUGCAAACGUUGCUCGGAAUUAUUGGGCGUAAAGCGCACGUAGGCGGCUUAGCAAGUCGGAAGUGAAAGCCCUCGGCUCAACCAAGGAAGUGCUUUCGAAACUGCUGAGCUUGAGUAGUUAAGAGGAUCGCGGAAUUCCCGGUGUAGAGGUGAAAUUCGUAGAUAUCGAGAGGAACACCAGUGGCGAAGGCGGCGAUCUGGGAACAUACUGACGCUGAGGUGCGAAAGCGUGGGGAGCAAACAGG
rnacentral:rRNA from 1 species